CCUUCCCCUCUCCUCCCUUUAAAACCGCAGGAAGCAUCAGCUCUGUCAGAACAUGCUGAUUUGAAGGGGAAAUUCCCUCACCUGCUGGGAUUAAAUUUUAAGAAACAGUUUAAUUUUCAAGGAAUAACAUCCACAGUCCAGAUUCUGCAACAUCCUACUAAAGAAGAAGAGGACUGGAAAAUGAAAC